rnacentral:rRNA from 1 species
UACAGAGGGGGCAAGCGUUAUUCGGAAUUAUUGGGCGUAAAGAGCUCGUAGGCGGUGUGUCACGUCGGCCGUGAAAACCUGCAGCUUAACUGUGGGCGUGCGGUCGAUACGGGCAUCACUGGAGUUCGGCAGGGGAGACUGGAAUUCCUGGUGUAGCGGUGAAAUGCGCAGAUAUCAGGAGGAACACCGGUGGCGAAGGCGGUUCUCUGGGAAUGACCUGACGCUGAGGAGCGAAAGCGUGGGGAGCGAACAGG